rnacentral:lncRNA from 1 species
AUGAUCAUCGUUUGGUCUUCGCCAGAACUAUCAGAAUCGUGUUCUCAUGUAGGGGCAGUUCUUUUUUCCAUUGAAGUUGGGGUAAAGAUGCGAGAUUCCGCUUCCUGCACAACAGAGCAGUGCAAGUGGCUGAUGCCAUCACAUGUAAAAAAGAUUCCUGCUGCUCCAGUAGCUCUGAUUGACUUCUCCUCAGCAAAAGCAAAAAAAAUAAAGCUUGACCGUUCCAUUGAUGGCAGGACAACUGACAACAAGGUUGGGAAAUCACUACCAUGCCCAAGAGUUAAGAGAGGGUCAGAAACAUAUGCUAGGUUUUUUGAAACAUUAAGCAAAAACUGUCCAAGGAGUGCAGCACUGAUGGCUAGGGAGCCUUACCACAAAGAAUUCAUCCCCAAAUCUUGCAUGCUUCCUAAAACUGUUCUUGAAUACAGAACACCGGAGACUCUGCAGCUACCCCCCAAAGAGCUUGGAGAGCUAUGCCAGGAUUUUCUGCUAGAAGAGCUCACCCUGUCUCAUGUUCAGGCUGUAGAGAGGGCAACUCGAAGUCAGAGUGCAAGCAGGGUUUGGUUUAGGCAAAGAGCAGGACGUGUAACGGCCUCAAAGCUGAAACAAGUGCUUAAGACCAACCCCCAGCAGCCAUCCAAGAGCUUGAUCAAGGGCAUAUGCUACCCAGAAGCAUAUAGGUUCAUCACAGCCGCUACAAGGUAUUUAGGGUUUGAAUUAGGGAAAGGCAAAGGUAAGAUUUGGGGUAUGAGGCAUGAACAAAUGUUUACUGUUUUCAUAGUUGAUUCAUGGUAUGGACAGCCCUGA